rnacentral:rRNA from 1 species
GUGCCAGCAGCCGCGGUAAUACGGAGGGUGCAAACGUUAUCCGGAUUUACUGGGUUUAAAGGGUGCGCAGGCGGAUAUGUAAGUCAGUGGUGAAAUCUUCCCGCUUAACGGGAAAACUGCCGUUGAUACUAUAUAUCUUGAAUGCCGUGGAGGUAAGCGGAAUAUGUCAUGUAGCGGUGAAAUGCUUAGAGAUGACAUAGAACACCGAUUGCGAAGGCAGCUUACUACACGGCGAUUGACGCUCAUGCACGAAAGCGUGGGGAUCAAACAGGAUUAGAUACCCUGGUAGUCC